rnacentral:rRNA from 1 species
GUGGGGAAUUUUGGACAAUGGGCGCAAGCCUGAUCCAGCAAUGCCGCGUGCAGGAAGAAGGCCUUCGGGUUGUAAACUGCUUUUGUACGGAACGAAACGGUCCUGGUUAAUACCUGGGGCUAAUGACGGUACCGUAAGAAUAAGCACCGGCUAACUACGUGCCAGCAGCCGCGGUAAUACGUAGGGUGCGAGCGUUAAUCGGAAUUACUGGGCGUAAAGCGUGCGCAGGCGGUGCUGUAAGACAGGCGUGAAAUCCCCGGGCUCAACCUGGGAAUUGCGCUUGUGACUGCAGUGCUGGAGUACGGCAGAGGGGGAGGGAAUUCCGCGUGUAGCAGUGAAAUGCGUAGAUAUGCGGAGGAACACCGAUGGCGAAGGCAGUCCCCUGGGCCUGUACUGACGCUCAUGCACGAAAGCGUGGGGAGCAAACAGGAUUAGAAACCCCAGUAGUCC